CUUGCUAAUAAUUCUCUAGUGGCGCACGGGUGAGUAACACGUGAGUAACCUGCCCCCAAGAGUGGGAUAGCCCCGGGAAACUGGGAUUAAUACCGCAUAAAAUCGCAAGAUUAAAGCAGCAAUGCGCUUGGGGAUGGGCUCGCGUCCUAUUAGUUAGUUGGUAAGGUAACGGCUCACCAAGGCGAUGACGGGUAGCCGGUCUGAGAGGAUGUCCGGCCACACUGGAACUGAGACACGGUCCAGACACCUACGGGUGGCAGCAGUCGAGAAUCAUUCACAAUGGGGGAAACCCUGAUGGUGCGACGCCGCGUGGGGGAAUGAAGGUCUUCGGAUUGUAAACCCCUGUCAUGUGGGAGCAAAUUAAAAAGAUAGUACCACAAGAGGAAGAGACGGCUAACUCUGUGCCAGCAGCCGCGGUAAUACAGAGGUCUCAAGCGUUGUUCGGAAUCACUGGGCGUAAAGCGUGCGUAGGCGGUUUCGUAAGUCGUGUGUGAAAGGCGGGGGCUCAACCCCCGGACUGCACAUGAUACUGCGAGACUAGAGUAAUGGAGGGGGAACCGGAAUUCUCGGUGUAGCAGUGAAAUGCGUAGAUAUCGAGAGGAACACUCGUGGCGAAGGCGGGUUCCUGGACAUUAACUGACGCUGAGGCACGAAGGCCAGGGGAGCGAAAGGGAUUAGAUACCCCUGUAGUCCUGGCAGUAAACGGUGCACGCUUGGUGUGCGGGGA
rnacentral:rRNA from 1 species